GGAAGGAUCAUUAACAAGUCCAACAUAUGGCAGCUGCUUUACUGCGGCCUGCUAUAUAAGCCCCGUGCAGCAAUGCACGUGUGACACAUUUUAUCGUUUGACUGAAUUAUAUCACAUAACCAAGGAAAACUUUUAACAAUGGAUCUCUAGGCUCUUGCAUCGAUGAAGAACGCAGUGAAGUGCGAAAAGUAAUGCGAUUUGCAUGCUCUGUGAGUCAUCGAAUCUUUGAACGCAUAUGGCGCCUUGUGGGGCAACCCAGAAGGCAUGCCUGUUUGAGAAUCAUUUCAACCAUUUAUCUUGAGCUUUCAUCAGUGAUUGCUUGUAACUCAUCAUGUAAGCUGUGUAUAGGAGCAAUCCAGAAACAGCUUUAUUCUAUUUAACCUAUGAUCUCAAAUCAGGCAAGACUACCCGCUGAACUUAAGCAUAUCAGUAAGCGGAGGAGAAGAAACUAACAAGGAUUCCCCUAGUAACGGCGAGUGAAGCGGGAACAGCUCAAAUUUUAAAUCUGGGACCAUUGGUCUCCGAAUUGUAGUUUCAAGACGUGCAUCCUAGGCUGGAUGGGCAGGCGUACAAGUUUCCUGGAAUGGAGCAUCACAGAGGGUGAGAAUCCCGUCUGGACGUCGGUCCGCUGGUCGCAUGAUGUGCGUCAAAGAGUCGAGUUGUUUGGGAAUGCAGCUCAAAAUGGGUGGUAAAUUUCAUCUAAGGCUAAAUACUGGCAAGAGACCGAUAGCAAACAAGUACCGUGAGGGAAAGAUGAAAAGCACCUUGAAAAGGGAGUUAAAUAGUGCGUGAAAUUGUUAAAAGGGAAACGAUUGAAGCCAGUAUUGCCGCAAGGCGAGUUAACGCCGGUUCGAGUCGCUGGAUAAGCCCGACAGAAAGGUAGCGUAGCAAUACGUGUUAUAGUCUGACGCGGUGACAGCGGCUUGGACCGUACCCCAGCCACGUUGUACCCUCGGCGGCGCAGUGGGCAAAGCAAGGGUGGACUGCAUGCAGACCUCUUUUGUGCAGCCUAAUUACGUUGUCGAGCAGGCGUGGUGGUCGUUGACGAAAUGGCUUCAAACGACCCGUCUUGAAACACGGACCAAGGAGUCUAACGUAUAUGCAAGUAUUUGAGUGGCAAACUCGAAUGCGCAAUGAAAGUAAGCAGUGGGAGCCUUCCGCAAGGUUGGUGCACCGCUGGCCGAUCUUGAUAUCUUUUGAUAGAUUUGAGUCAGAGCAUAUCCGCUGGGACCCGAAAGAUGGUGAACUAUGCCUGAAUAGGGUGAAGCCAGAGGAAACUCUGGUGGAAGCUCGUAGCCGUUCUGACGUGCAAAUCGAUGGUCAAAUUUGGGUAUAGGGGCGAAAGACUAAUCGAACCAUCUAGUAGCUGGUUCCCUC
rnacentral:misc_RNA from 1 species